UUUAUUGGAGAGUUUGAUCCUGGCUCAGGAUGAACGCUGGCGGCGUGCCUAAUACAUGCAAGUCGAGCGAAUGGAUUAAGAGCUUGCUCUUAUGAAGUUAGCGGCGGACGGGUGAGUAACACGUGGGUAACCUGCCCAUAAGACUGGGAUAACUCCGGGAAACCGGGGCUAAUACCGGAUAACAUUUUGGACCGCAUGGUUCGAAAUUGAAAGGCGGCUUCGGCUGUCACUUAUGGAUGGACCCGCGUCGCAUUAGCUAGUUGGUGAGGUAACGGCUCACCAAGGCAACGAUGCGUAGCCGACCUGAGAGGGUGAUCGGCC
rnacentral:rRNA from 1 species